GUAACUAUUUCAAUUCGCGGCACACAUAUUUCACAAUUUCGAACCAAACAAUCCCGUUCAGUAUUUUUCAGUACAUUUGGAAUGUCUUUUUUCGUAUCUUCCCUCUUUUUGUGUCCCUCUUUUCACAGGAGAAUAAAGACUACAGGGAGUUCAAAGACAAGGAUGUGAGCGAGAUAUACAUUCGCUAUCGUACACUUUUUGGCGACAGCUAUGAUGGGGAGAAGUACGCGGUCACGCCGACUAAGUUGUGCCG
rnacentral:lncRNA from 1 species